AUCCAGCUGAUGAGUCCAAGACGGUAUGAAACGCGCGUCCUAGAU
rfam:Schistosoma mattheei strain Denwood, Zambia genome assembly, scaffold: SMTD_scaffold0004034